rnacentral:rRNA from 1 species
CCUACGGGUGGCAGCAGUGAGGAAUAUUGCACAAUGGGGGAAACCCUGAUGCAGCGACGCCGCGUGAGUGAAGAAGUAAUUCGUUACGUAAAGCUCUAUCAGCAGGGAAGAAACACUGACCUUACGGUCAGCAGACGGUACCUGAGUAAGAAGCACCGGCUAACUACGUGCCAGCAGCCGCGGUAAUACGUAGGGGGCAAGCGUUAUCCGGAUUUACUGGGUGGAAAGGGAGCGUAGACGGUGCGCCAAGUCUGGAGUGAAAUGCCGCAGCUUAACUGCGGAACUGCUUUGGAAACUGGCGAACUAGAGUGCGGGAGGGGUAAGCGGAAUUCCUAGUGUAGCGGUGAAAUGCGUAGAUAUUAGGAGGAACACCGGUGGCGAAGGCGGCUUACUGGACCGUAACUGACGUUGAGGCUCGAAAGCGUGGGGAGCAAACAGGAUUAGAUACCCCAGUAGUC